rnacentral:rRNA from 1 species
CCUACGGGUGGCAGCAGUCGAGAAUCAUUCACAAUGGGGGAAACCCUGAUGGUGCGACGCCGCGUGGGGGAAUGAAGGUCUUCGAAUUGUAAACCCCUGUCAUGUGGGAGCAAAUUAAAAAGAUAGUACCACAAGAGGAAGAGACGGCUAACUCUGUGCCAGCAGCCGCGGUAAUACAGAGGUCUCAAGCGGUGUUCGGAAUCACUGGGCGGAAAGCGUGCGUAGGCUGUUUCGUAAGUCGUGUGUGAAAGGCGCGGGCUCAACCCGCGGACGGCACAUGAUACUGCGAGACUAGAGUAAUGGAGGGGGAACCGGAAUUCUCGGUGUAGCAGUGAAAUGCGUAGAUAUCGAGAGGAACACUCGUGGCGAAGGCGGGUUCCUGGACAUUAACUGACGCUGAGGCACGAAGGCCAGGGGAGCGAAAGGGAUUAGAUACCCCGGUAGUC